rnacentral:lncRNA from 1 species
CCCCACAGCUCGAGCAGCUCCAUUCUCCCUCCUGCAUCAAGAGAGAGGCUGGCAGCAAAAACUCAUCUCAUCUUCCUCUGAACCCCUUUGAAGGGAGUGGAAAUGAAUGAUAAAGUGGCAGUCGGCAGAAUAAAAAUUCAGCCUUAAAGGAGAACACGUGGCAAAAUCACAUCCAGCAUCAGCAACAAACACACACAAGGAGACUGACUGCCUGACCUUUUGGGGAGGUGUUUCAUGGUGUACCUGGCUUCCUGCAAUGGAACAACAACCUUCUCUGGGCCCCGUGCAGAUCACUGAAGGGUGGAGGGAGAACCUCCCCCUGCCCAUCUGUGUGAACUUGGCUAUUCUACACAGUAGCAGGAGCUGGGGUUCCCUGGAAGGUGACUCUUUUGUGAAAUGACGUGAAACUUC